UACGUAGGGGGCAAGCGUUGUCCGGAAUUAUUGGGCGUAAAGAGCUCGUAGGCGGUUUGUCGCGUCUGCUGUGAAAACUCGGGGCUUAACUCCGGGCCUGCAGUGGGUACGGGCAGACUAGAGUGCGGUAGGGGUGACUGGAAUUCCUGGUGUAGCGGUGGAAUGCGCAGAUAUCAGGAGGAACACCGAUGGCGAAGGCAGGUCACUGGGCCGCGACUGACGCUGAGGAGCGAAAGCAUGGGGAGCGAACAGG
rnacentral:rRNA from 1 species